rnacentral:rRNA from 1 species
CCUACGGGUGGCAGCAGUGAGGAAUAUUGGGCAAUGGACGAGAGUCUGAACCAGCCAAGUAGCGUGAAGGAUGACUGCCCUAUGGGUGGUAAACUUCUUUUAUAUGGGAAUAAAACAGGGUAUGCAUACCCUCUUGUAUGUACCAUAUGAAUAAGGAUCGGCUAACUCCGUGCCAGCAGCCGCGGUAAUACGGAGGAUCCGAGCGUUGUCCGGAUUGAUUGGGUUUAAAGGGAGCGUAGGUGGAUUGUUAAGUCAGUUGUGAAAGUUUGCGGCUCAACCGUAAAAUUGCAGUUGAAACUGGCAGUCUUGAGUACAGUAGAGGUGGGCGGAAUUCGUGGUGUAGCGGUGAAAUGCUUAGAUAUCACGAAGAACUCCGAUUGCGAAGGCAGCUCACUGGACUGAAACUGACACUGAUGCUCGAAAGUGUGGGUAUCAAACAGGAUUAGAUACCCUGGUAGUC